CCUAGCUACUGUUCCCCUUUUCUUUAUUUUCCCUAAGCCCUCACUACUGCCAUAAACAAAUCACCACCAUCUGGCAUCUGCAUACCAAUCCAUCUCACAGUCACCACCUUCUUAUAGCACUGCCACCAUUAAUCAACAAUCCAGAACCACACAAGCCUUCCAGCAUAAAUCCAGCCACCAAAGGCUGCCCAGAAAGUAAGUUCGUUCAGGUCAAGUUCUGACUCGAAUCACUGUCAUCCUUGAUUUCAACUUCUACACCUCACCGGAGGUCUGCCGCACACCAAUUUGCUUGCUGCUAUUGAAGGAUUGCGAGUGGCACUACCCAUGUGCAGGUGCCAUCACUCUGGGUUGGGUUAGAUCCACCCACAAACCUAGUUGAUCCCGCAUAUCAACCUAUGUUCCUGUCCACACUUGAUUCAAAACUUGCUUCCUACCACUUUAACCACCACCACCUACCAGAAUAUGUGACGGCAACAAUUUUUGGCAGCAACCUAACCCUCUAAUUUGGUCCUGAUUACAAUUUUGACAUCCGUCUUGGGCAGAUCACAUAUCCACUUGAAGAAAAAUCUCAAGAAAACAAUGAGAGGCGCUUGGAUACGAUUGAAGCAAAGCUAGAAGCAUUAUCAAGAGUUAUUGAAGAUGUAAUUAAACCUCAAAAUGCAUGUAAUGACAGAAAUUCAUUGUGAAGAACAAAAAGAGCAAUUUGAAGAAUCUAAAAUUUUGAUUGUUGAGACAUCACAUGUUGAAAUUCAAGAUAAUAAGAUUUAGAAAAUUUUGAGAAGCCUAUUCUAGAGAAAAAAGCUUAUGAGAAUUAGCAAUCGAUCCUAGGGAUCGAAGAAAACCAGAUCAUUGAGAAGACAAGGGAGGAGGGAAAAACAGCACAUAGAGAAGACAACGAAAAUUGAAGAUUUAGUCAAUUCUCUUGUUUCUCACUAGUGAAUUGAAAAGCCUAUCAAGUGUAGUUUUGAUUGAUUUUAUUUGUUUAGAAGUUUCCAAGGAUGUAUAAGAAUUCUAUUGUUUAGAAUUUCCU
rnacentral:misc_RNA from 1 species